rnacentral:rRNA from 1 species
GGGUUGUGAGGUUAAGCGACUAAGCGUACACGGUGGAUGCCCUGGCAGUCAGAGGCGAUGAAGGACGUGCUAAUCUGCGAAAAGCGUCGGUAAGGUGAUAUGAACCGUUACAGCCGGCGAUGUCCGAAUGGGGAAACCCAGUGCAAUUCGUUGCACUAUCGUUAACUGAAUACAUAGGUUAACGAGGCGAACCGGGGGAACUGAAACAUCUAAGUACCCCGAGGAAAAGAAAUCAACCGAGAUUCCCCCAGUAGCGGCGAGCGAACGGGGAGCAGCCCAGAGUCUGAAUCAGCUUGUGUGUUAGUGGAACGGUCUGGAAAGUCCGACGGUACAGGGUGAUAGUCCCGUACACCAAAAUGCACAGGCUGUGAACUCGAAGAGUAGGGCGGGACACGUGGUAUCCUGUCUGAAUAUGGGGGGACCAUCCUCCAAGGCUAAAUACUCCUGACUGACCGAUAGUGAACCAGUACCGUGAGGGAAAGGCGAAAAGAACCCCGGCGAGGGGAGUGAAAAAGAACCUGAAACCGUGUACGUACAAGCAGUGGGAGCACCUUCGGGUGUGACUGCGUACCUUUUGUAUAAUGGGUCAGCGACUUAUAUUCUGUAGCAAGGUUAACCGUAUAGGGGAGCCGCAGGGAAACCGAGUCUUAACUGGGCGUUAAGUUGCAGGGUAUAGACCCGAAACCCGGUGAUCUAGCCAUGGGCAGGUUGAAGGUUGGGUAACACUAACUGGAGGACCGAACCGACUAAUGUUGAAAAAUUAGCGGAUGACUUGUGGCUGGGGGUGAAAGGCCAAUCAAACCGGGAGAUAGCUGGUUCUCCCCCGAAAGCUAUUUAGGUAGCGCCUCGUGAAUUCAUCUUCGGGGGUAGAGCACUGUUUCGGCUAGGGGGUCAUCCCGACUUACCAACCCGAUGCAAACUACGAAUACCGAAGAAUGUUAUCACGGGAGACACACGGCGGGUGCUAACGUCCGUCGUGAAGAGGGAAACAACCCAGACCGCCAGCUAAGGUCCCAAAGUCAUGGUUAAGUGGGAAACGAUGUGGGAAGGCACAGACAGCCAGGAUGUUGGCUUAGAAGCAGCCAUCAUUUAAAGAAAGCGUAAUAGCUCACUGGUCGAGUCGGCCUGCGCGGAAGAUGUAACGGGGCUAAACCAUGCACCGAAGCUGCGGCAGCGACACUAUGUGUUGUUGGGUAGGGGAGCGUUCUGUAAGCCUGCGAAGGUGACCUGUGAGGGUUGCUGGAGGUAUCAGAAGUGCGAAUGCUGACAUAAGUAACGAUAAAGCGGGUGAAAAGCCCGCUCGCCGGAAGACCAAGGGUUCCUGUCCAACGUUAAUCGGGGCAGGGUGAGUCGACCCCUAAGGCGAGGCCGAAAGGCGUAGUCGAUGGGAAACAGGUUAAUAUUCCUGUACUUGGUGUUACUGCGAAGGGGGGACGGAGAAGGCUAUGUUAGCCGGGCGACGGUUGUCCCGGUUUAAGCAUGUAGGCUGGUUAUCCAGGCAAAUCCGGAUAAUCAAGGCUGAGGUGUGAUGACGAGGCACUACGGUGCUGAAGUAACAAAUGCCCUGCUUCCAGGAAAAGCCUCUAAGCAUCAGGUAACAUCAAAUCGUACCCCAAACCGACACAGGUGGUCAGGUAGAGAAUACCAAGGCGCUUGAGAGAACUCGGGUGAAGGAACUAGGCAAAAUGGUGCCGUAACUUCGGGAGAAGGCACGCUGGUGUGUAGGUGAAGUCCCUGCGGAUGGAGCUGAGACCAGUCGAAGAUACCAGCUGGCUGCAACUGUUUAUUAAAAACACAGCACUGUGCAAACACGAAAGUGGACGUAUACGGUGUGACGCCUGCCCGGUGCCGGAAGGUUAAUUGAUGGGGUUAUCCGUAAGGAGAAGCUCUUGAUCGAAGCCCCGGUAAACGGCGGCCGUAACUAUAACGGUCCUAAGGUAGCGAAAUUCCUUGUCGGGUAAGUUCCGACCUGCACGAAUGGCGUAAUGAUGGCCAGGCUGUCUCCACCCGAGACUCAGUGAAAUUGAACUCGCUGUGAAGAUGCAGUGUACCCGCGGCAAGACGGAAAGACCCCGUGAACCUUUACUAUAGCUUGACACUGAACAUUGAGCCUUGAUGUGUAGGAUAGGUGGGAGGCUUUGAAGCGUGGACGCCAGUCUGCGUGGAGCCAACCUUGAAAUACCACCCUUUAAUGUUUGAUGUUCUAACGUUGGCCCCUUACCGGGGUUGCGGACAGUGUCUGGUGGGUAGUUUGACUGGGGCGGUCUCCUCCCAAAGCGUAACGGAGGAGCACGAAGGUUAGCUAAUCCUGGUCGGACAUCAGGAGGUUAGUGCAAUGGCAUAAGCUAGCUUGACUGCGAGCGUGACGGCGCGAGCAGGUGCGAAAGCAGGUCAUAGUGAUCCGGUGGUUCUGAAUGGAAGGGCCAUCGCUCAACGGAUAAAAGGUACUCCGGGGAUAACAGGCUGAUACCGCCCAAGAGUUCAUAUCGACGGCGGUGUUUGGCACCUCGAUGUCGGCUCAUCACAUCCUGGGGCUGAAGUAGGUCCCAAGGGUAUGGCUGUUCGCCAUUUAAAGUGGUACGCGAGCUGGGUUUAGAACGUCGUGAGACAGUUCGGUCCCUAUCUGCCGUGGGCGCUGGAGAAUUGAGGGGGGGGCUGCUCCUAGUACGAGAGGACCGGAGUGGACGCAUCACUGGUGUUCGGGUUGUCAUGCCAAUGGCACUGCCCGGUAGCUAAAUGCGGAAGAGAUAAGUGCUGAAAGCAUCUAAGCACGAAACUUGCCCCGAGAUGAGUUCUCCCUGAGACUUUAAGUCUCCUGAAGGAACGUUAAAGACGAUGACGUUGAUAGGCCGGGUGUGUAAGCGCAGCGAUGCGUUGAGCUAACCGGUACUAAUGAACCGUGAGGCUUAACCUUACAACGCCGAAG